rnacentral:misc_RNA from 1 species
CCUUCCCCUUCCCCUUCCCCUUCCUGACCCUUUCUUACCCUUCCAUUGCUUAGCCUUCCCUCGUCUAAGCAGACCCUUACUUACCAUUUUGUACUCAUAACCUACUGUCAAUAACUAAAUUGACCAAAACCACAAAACAUAAACUCACCUUUUAUUCUUUUUGUUGCCUGAUUCAGGACCAGCAGACUGAACAAGUAAUAGUAGUGGGAAAAGAGGCAGCAGGGCUUUAUUUCAUAGACAAAUUGAGUUUUUUGCUUUCUACUAUUGAAUCUUGUUUGCACAAACUUCAACAAUCUUUUUCUACAUCACAUUAUGUAAAUCCCAUUCUCUCUCAGUUUGCUAUCAAUAAAGAGAGUUCACUUUGGUCCAAUUCAGUUGUUGAUACACAUUCUAACUGUGAUGUUUCUCUUAUUCAUGCUAGAUUGGGUCAUGUUUCUUUUGGAAAAAUGGUUCAUUUACCUGGCAUUUCUAUCGCACAUGAUUCACAAUUAUGUUUGUCCAUUAGCUAAAUUUCACAGGUUACCUUUCCCUGACAGUGAGACACAAACACAUUUUGCAUUUGACCUAGUUCAUGUAGAUGUUUGGGGACCUUACCAUGAAGAGUCAUUUACAGGAGCCAAAUUUUUUCUCACCAUAGUUGAUGAUUAUACUAGAGCUUCCUAGACUUUUAUGAUGCAACAAAAGGCCCAAACUACUGGAGUUAUAAGGAAGUUUUUUUCCCUUGUUAAGAACCAAUUUGGAGUCAAUGUUAAAGCCAUAAGAACUGAUAAUGGGGCUGAGUUUUUAAGUCAAUGAUGUUUUCAAUUUUUCUCUGACCAAGGUAUUUUUCAUCAACGAUCUUGUCCUUACACACCUCAACAAAAUGGUGUAGUGGAGAGGAAGCAUAGGUAUCUUCUUAAUACAGCAAGGGCAUUGAGAGUACAAGCUAAUUUUUCAAAGAAAUUUUGGUCUGAAUGUGUUUUAGCAGCUACCUACUUAAUUAACAGACUUUCUAUUCAAAAAUUACAAUGGCUUACACCUUAUGAACUUUUGUAUAAGAAACCACCAGAUUAUUCUCAUUUGAGGGUUGUAGGUUGUCUGUGUUAUGCUGCUAACAUAUAUCCCCACAGAGAUAAAUUUACUAAUAGGUCCAUCCCUUCUAUUCUUCUGGGUUACUCAGGAUAAAGUAAAGCUUAUAGGUUAUACAAUAUGCAAACUGCAGAAAUCUUCAACAGUAGAGAUGUUCUUUUUUUUUUGAGUCAGUCUUUCCUUUCAAACACGAUUCUUACAAUAAAUUUACCAAUACAUUUGAUCUCAAUUCUAUAGUUUUACCACAACCUGCUCUUGACUUUGAUUAAGUUGCUCCUUCACAAUCAUCUUCUUUAUCUUCCAGUCCAUCUCUAUCUCCUUCAGAGUCAUUUUCCCUAAGUCAAGAGCAUUAAUCUUCAUGUAAUCCUCCCCAUGUGUGUUUUGAUUCUGUUCCCCUUAGAAGAACCACUAGACAAAUUAAACAACUUGUGUGGCUCAAAGAUUUUGUCAAUAUAGCUUCUGCUGCUCCUCACACCACAGCUUGCACAAGUUCAAUUGCUUCUUCUUUGCAUCCAUAAGAUAUUCUUCCAUCCUUUACUUUUACUUCCCUUCACCAAUCCUUUAUUCACAAUGUAUCUACUAUUCAUGAGCCUACUACAUAUUCCCAAGCUUCUAAAGAUACUAACUGGAUUGAAGCUAUGCAGCAAGAAUUGAUGGCAUAGGAGAGAAAUAAUACUUGGGAAUUGACUUUGUUGCCAAUAGGAAAAAAGGCAAUUAGGUGUAAGUGGGUUUAUAAAGUCAAAUGCAAACCUAAUGGUGAAGUUGAUAGAUUUAAAGCAAGGUUAGUUGCUAAAGGCUAUAAUCAAAUAGAGGGCUUGGAUUAUAAAGACAGAUUUUCUCUAGUAGCUAAACUUGUUACUGUCAAAUUGUUUAUUGCUUUAACAACUGCCAAACAGUGGCCAAUCUAUCAAUUAGACAUUAAUAAUGCCUUUCUUCAUGGCUACUUGGAUGAGGAAGUCUACAUGCAACCUCCACUAGGAUAUGAUAAAGCUAAGCUUGGACAGGUAUGCUUGCUUAAAAGAUCUCUAUAUGGCCUUAAGCAAGCUUCUAGACAAUGGAAUCUAGAAUUUACUAGUUUCUUGAAGUCAUUGGGUUUUACACAGUCACAACAUGAUUAAUGCUUAUUCACUCGAGGUACUGCAGCUAAUUUCAUGGCUCUUUUGAUAUAUGUGGAUGAUGUUAUAACUAUUGGUACUUCUUCUGAAGCUAUAGCAGCAGUUAUGGCUGCUUUGCAUUCUAAAUUCACAAUCAAAGACCUGGGAUUUAUGAAGUAUUUUCUUGGCCUGGAAGUUGCUAGGUCAGCACAUGACACUAUAAUUAGUCAAAAGAAGUUUAUUCCUGAUGUUUUACAAGAUAUAGGGAUGUUUAAUUGUAAAGCAGUUGCUUCUCCAUUACCUGCUGGCUUACAUUUGUCCUCAGAUUCUGGUCAUCCUCUUCCUAAUCCAGAUUCUUAUAGAAGAUUAAUAGGGAGAUUAUUAUACAUUAAUAUCACCAAACCUGACAUUAGUCAUGUUGUGCAACACUUGAAUCAGUUCAUGUCUUUGCCUAGGAAACCUCAUUGGGAUGCAACCAUGCAUGUGUUGAGAUAUUUGAGAGGUUCUUCAUCCAGAGGUUUAUACUUUUCAAUGGCGAAUGACUUCAGGAUCACUGCAUAUUGUGAUGCAGAUUGGGCCUCUUGCUCCUUUACCAGAAAAUCUCUCACUGGUUUUUGUGUUUUCAUUGGCUCCUCUCUCAUUUCAUGGAAAACAAAGAAGCAAUCCACAGUUUCCAAGUCUUCAGCAGAGGCAGAGUAUAGGGCAAUGGCUUCUACAGUUUGUGAGUUGCUUUGAGUUUCCUAUAUCCUUCGUGACUUACAGAUGCCUAUUCAGUAGCCCAUCACCUUGUACUGUGAUAACAAAGCUGCACUCUAUAUAGCUGCCAAUCCAGUCUUCCAUGAGAGGACUAAACAUAUUGAAAUAGACCACCAUUUUAUCAGGGAGAGGAUUUAAUACAGCUAGAGUAUUUGAGUACCUAAGAGCAAAUAGCAGACCUGUUCACUAAAGC